GACAAAUCAGAUUCUUACUCCUGAUUUUCGGCCUUUUCCUCUUGAAAAAAUUCAAAUCCAACUAAAAAUGCUAAAAAUCAAGAGAAAAAAUAUGAUUUGUC
rnacentral:pre_miRNA from 1 species